GCUAUAAUAUGUUUCAAUUCAUGCCAAUGAAAACUAAAUGUAAAAGAAAUAAUUAUAUACACACACAUAAGCAUUGUUGUGGUUCACAUGGUCAUUGGCCUAUAAAAGAGCCUCUUGUAAUUUUACCAUUAUAAUUUUUAACCUUUUAUUAAUGUUGUUUGAAUUCUUAAAGAGACUAGUUCACUUUUCACUUUAUUAAUAAUAUAAUUAUAUCUUUUUAAAGAGUUUAAUGUUGAUCUUAGGAGACUAAGUUAAUAAUUACGUUGUUUUAAAAGUUAAAAAUUAUAAUGUU
rnacentral:misc_RNA from 1 species